UCCGCCUUCAGUUCUGCAGCAGCUCGGGAAUCAUGGCCCACUGAGCCCCGAAGCGCUUUCACCCGAACCCAAGGAGGACGACCAGGAAAGACGGGAACUCGCGUAGACACGCCCGGAAGCCCUUGUCAUGGUAAAGGAGGUCAUCUUUACCACUCCUGCUUUCAGCCAUUUCUUCAUUCAUUCAAUCAACUAACUCUGGCUGAGCUGCAACCCUGAGCCGAGGGAAUUCAGCCAUGCCAGACCCAGCCCCUGCCCUCCGGGAAGUCUCGGGAGACCUGGCUAGUCUGGCUGGGAGAAGUCACACGUUGAUUGUCUUGGAAGUGAGAUGGCGUUUACACAAUGGAGGCUGCACUGCCAGCAGGCAAAAAUAACCAGUUAAUUCAGUGGAUUAAAGGAACCAAACCUACCCACAACACUUGACCUCCCAUUGAUCUGUCUGCGACAACGGCAGUGGCUACCAUUUAUUGAGUGCUGAUGGUGUCACCUGGGAUUGACUUAGUGGUCUCUGGCGCUAGUUCCAAAGUUGAUUCUGUCUGGAGAGCUUAAGGCAGUGUUCAGAACUGAGGGUCCAAACCUGAGGGUCACCCAAAGAUGAGUGGGACAUAACUGUGUGACCUUGGCUGAGUGCUUUCACCUCUCCAACCUCAGUUUCCUCUUCUGCAAAAUGGGUGGCUUCAUGGCACCUUCACAUGGUGUGAUUGCGAGGAAUGAAGGGAUUGAUGCCUUGCAAAUAGAGAAGAAAGGGCCGGAUACAUCUUAGUUGUUAUGUUAAUCAUCUUGGCAACCCUGGGAGGGAGGAACCACUAUCAUUUUAUUUUCCAUUUUACAGAUGAGGAGAGUGAUGAUUCCAGCACAGACAGGGCCCCUGACGGGGCAGUAGGAAAGGAGAAUUGCUUUGGAAGGAGCAUAGGCUGGACUGCCAGCAUUCACAGGAGGCUUCCUGUGUGCCCAGGACUGCCAGAAUUAAAUACAGGACACCCAGUUCAGUUUGAAUUUCAGAUAAACUAUGAAUAAUGUUUAGUAUAAGUAUAUCUCAAUUUAACUGGA